rnacentral:rRNA from 1 species
GAAUCUGCCUUUAGGUAAAGAAUAACCGCUGGAAACGGCGACUAAUACUUUAUAUGCUGAGAAGUGAAAGGGUUUCCGCCUAGAGAUGAGCUUGCGCUUGAUUAGCUUGUUGGUGGGGUAAAGGCUUACCAAGGCGACGAUCAAUAGCUGGUUUGAGAGGAUGGCCAGCCGCAUUGGCACUGAGACACGGGCCAGAUGGCUACGGCCAGCAGCAGUAAAGAAUCUUCCGCAAUGGGCGCAAGCCUGACGGGGCAAUGCCGCGUGAAGGACAAAGGUCUACGGACUGUAAACUUCUUUAAUUACGAAAGAUAAUGACGGUACGUAAUCAAAAAGGAUCGACUAACUAUGUGCCAGCAGUCGCGGUAAUACAUGGGAUCCAAGCGUUAUCCGGAAUGAUUGGGCGUAAAGCGUUCGUAGGUGGUUUGGAAAGUCGCAGGUUAAAACUUAGGGCUUAACCUUAAAUGUGCUUGCGAAACUUCCAAACUUGAGUAUGGCACAGGUAGAGGGAAUUACUGGUGGAAAGGUGAAAUUUCUUAAUACGACUCACUAUAGGGCGAAUUGAAUUCAGCGGCCGCGAAUUCGCCCUUGGACGGGGUGAGUAAGGCGUGAUGGAUAAAGGGAUUAGAUACCCCUGUAGUC